AGGGUGUUGUUUGGGGUGUUGGGGUGUUCCUAUGGGUGCUGGGGUGUUCCUAUGGGUGUUGGGGUGUUCCUAUGGGUGCUGGGGUGUUGUUUGGGGUGCUGGGGUGUUCCUAUGGGUGCUCAGGGUGUUAUUGGGGUGCUGAGGUGUUCCUAUGGGUGCUCAGGGUGUUGUUGGGGGUGCCGGGGUGUUCCUAUGGGUGUUGGGGUGUUCCUAUGGGUGCUCAGGGUGUUAUUGGGGUGCUGAGGUGUUCCUAUGGGUGCUGGGGGGGUUGUUUGGGGUGCUGGGGUGUUCCUAUGGGUGUUGGGGUGUUCCUAUGGGUGCUCAGGGUGUUAUUGGGGGUGCUGGGGUGUUCCUAUGGGUGCUCAGGGUGAUGUUUGGGGUGCUGGGUGUUCCUAUGGGUGCUGGGUGUUCCUAUGGGUGCUGGGUGUUCCUAUGGGUGCUGGGUGUUCCUAUGGGUGCUGGGUUGUUCCUAUGGGUGCUGGGUGUUGUUGGGGCCUGCUGGGUGUUGUUGUGGGUGUCGGGGCCUUGUUGCUUGGGCUGUUGCUAUGGGUGUUGGGCUGUUCUUUGGGGUGCUGGGGUGUUCGUAUGGGUGUUGGGGUGUGGUUGGGGUGUUGGGGUGUUGUUUGGGGUGUUGCUAUGGGUGCUGGGGGGGUUGAUAGGGGUGCUGGGGUGUUCCUAUGGGUGCUGGGGUGUUGUUGGGGGUUGUUGAGGCCUUGUUGCUGUGGUGUUGUUGCUAUGGGGCUGUAGUUACUAUGGGUGCUCAGGGUGUUGUUGCUCAGCCCCCCAUAUUCCCCCCCCUCUCCCCCCCAUAACCCCGGACCCAUAGGGACAGCCCUGACCCACUUGGAAAUGGGGCCAGGGCCUGGGGCAGCAUGGAGCCUGCAGGGCCUAUAGGGGGGCAGGGCCUAUAGGGGAGCAGGGCCUAUAGGGGGGCAGGGCCUAUAGGGGGGCAGGGCCUAUAUGGGAGCAGGGCCUAUAAGGGAACGGGUCCUAUAGGGGAGUAGGUCCUAUAGGGGAACAGGGCCUAUAAGGGGGCAGGGCCUAUAGGGGAACAGGGCCUAUAGGGGAGCAGGGCCUGUAAGGGAGCAGGUCCUAUAAGGGAACAGGGCGUAUAGGGGGGCAGGGCCUAUAUGGGAGCAGGGCCUAUAAGGGGGCAGGUCCUAUAAGGGGACCAGGGCCUAUAGGGGACCAGGGCCUAUAGGGGGGCAGGUCCUAUAAGGGAGCAGGUCCUAUAAGGGGACCAGGGCCUAUAGGGGACCAGGGCCUAUAGGGGGGCAGGGCCUAUAGGGGAGCAGGGCCUAUAGGGGAGCAGGGCCUAUAAGGGAGCAAGGCCUAUAGGGGAACAGGGCCUAUAGGGGAGCAGGGGCUAUAGGGGAACAGGGGCUAUAAGGGGGUAAGUCCUAUAAGGGAGCAGGGCCUAUAGGGGAGCAGGGGCUAUAGGGGAGCAGGGGCUAUAGGGGAGCAGGUCCUAUAAGGGAGCAGGGCCUAUAGGGGAGCAGGGCCUAUAAAGGAACAGGGCCUAUAGGGGAGCAGGGGCUAUAGGGGAGCAGGGUCUAUAGGGGAACAGGGCCUAUAGGGGAGCAGGGCCUAUAAGGGAGCAAGGCCUAUAGGGGAACAGGGCCUAUGGGGGAGCAGGGCCUAUAGGGGAACAGGGCCUAUAAGGGGGCAGGGCCUAUAGGGGAACAGGGCCUAUAAGAGGGCAGGGCCUA
rnacentral:lncRNA from 1 species